CCUACGGGAGGCAGCAGUGGGGAAUAUUGGGCAAUGGAGGAAACUCUGACCCAGCGACGCCGCGUGCGGGAUGAAGACCUUCGGGUUGUAAACCGCCUUCAGUAGGGAAGAAGCGAAAGUGACGGUACCUACAGAAGAAGCACCGGCUAACUAUGUGCCAGCAGCCGCGGUAAUACAUAGGGUGCAAGCGUUGUCCGGAAUUAUUGGGCGUAAAGAGCUCGUAGGUGGUUCGUCACGUCGGAUGUGAAAAUCUGGGGCUCAACCCCAGACCUGCAUUCGAUACGGGCGAUCUAGAGUGUGGUAGGGGAGACUGGAAUUCCUGGUGUAGCGGUGGAAUGCGCAGAUAUCAGGAGGAACACCAAUGGCGAAGGCAGGUCUCUGGGCCAUUACUGACACUGAGGAGCGAAAGCGUGGGGAGCGAACAGGAUUAGAUACCCUGGUAGUCCACGCAGUAAACGGUGGGCACUAGUUGUGGGAACCUUCCACGGUUUCUGCGACGCAGCUAACGCAUUAAGUGCCCCGCCUGGGGAGUACGAUCGCAAGAUUAAAACUCAAAGGAUUGACGG
rnacentral:rRNA from 1 species